ensembl:lncRNA LINC01102 long intergenic non-protein coding RNA 1102
AAGUUCUGUGGGUUCUUUAAACUUUCCAUCUUAAUAUCUAGACUAUUCAAAGUGAGUCUUCAAAACUAUGCCACUUAUGAAGAUCCACACAGCUUAGUAAGCUAUUGCAUCGAGUUUUGUAAAGGAAUAUUUUCGUCAUAAAUUUGUUCUUGUCUUAAAAAGAGAAAGCCAAGGCAAAUUUUAAAGCAGCAUUUUGACUUUAAUGAAAAAUUGAUUGGCUAAAACAGAUGUCAGACUGAAACUACAAAGAGCCCAGGCAUUAUGCAGGGAAUGAAGACAUUUGGAGAAGAAGCGUUUACUGAAAGGAGAUUCCUGGGCUGGAGGAAAACCAUGAUCUACAGUUCAUGUUGACAGAUAUUGUAUUUUUGGUCCUAGAUCUGACUUUUGAAAUGACUUAUCACAAAUUCAAAUUUAGCAAUCAUGAGUGAAGUACCCACGAUGUGCUAAGCAUCUACCUCUGCAGAUAGAAGAACACUUACUGUUCCUGAGCAUGGGAGGGAAUAGAAGUUCCUGGGUCCUGGCCUCACCUCAUCAGGCACUGCCAAAUUUGACACCUCCUUCCUGUUCACGGCAGUCCUUUGCGAUAGGGUAUUAGAUGCCACCAAGUAGCUGCAUAACUCACCCAUUUGGUCAGAGCCUGGGUCUAAGCCAGGUCUGACAGACUCCAAAGCAAGCCCUGUUUACAGCAUGACUGGGAUCCAGUGGACGAGGGAACUGAGCUGUCAAAACUAAGUGACUUGAUUGAGGCCAUGCAGCUGGCGAGGGGAGGACCAGGAUCUGAACCCAACUGGGUCUCCCAAGCCUGGGCCACUGAACCAUUUCACCUCUUGGAAAAACUUAAUGGUCAGAGUGGCCCACCCAGUCCAUGGACAGCAUGGAGGAUAAACUGCUUCCCUAGAAAUCCUCUCCAGCAUUCUUGCCACCACGACUUUGGGACACAUUGACCAUGAGGAGGAGCUGGUCAAUGAUGGACAGGAGUCCAGAUUAGCAGAGAUGUGGUAAUAAGGACACCGAUGCCUAAAUACUUGAAAUAUCCAAUAGGAAGCAUUCCACCUUUGUGCAAAUGCGAACCACAUCUCACCAAGUUCAGGCCAAGGCUGCCACCGGUGACGUUUUGGAAAAGAAAAAAAAAAGCGGGGGGAGAGGAGAGAAACAGAGAAGCAAGGAAUGCAGAAGAGAGCAGAGGCCACAAAAACAGCAGCAACGUGUCCUGUGUAUUCUGUUUCCUUGUAAAACUAUGAAGCAUGUUAAGGAGAUACUUCAUUUUUUGAGGAUUCAUACUCUUGUUUAUAUUAUAAUAAAAACAACCCAUGUUCUUUCUAAAAA